GAUCGUAAUCCGGGACAUCAA
rnacentral:misc_RNA from 1 species